GCGGGCGUGGCGGAAUGGCAGACGCGCUAGACUUAGGAUCUAGUGCCAUAUGGCGUAUGAGUUCAAGUCUCUUCGCCCGCA
rnacentral:tRNA from 1 species